rnacentral:rRNA from 1 species
AAGUCGAACGGUAACAGGAAGCAGCUUGCUGCUUUGCUGACGAGUGGCGGACGGGUGAGUAAUGUCUGGGAAACUGCCUGAUGGAGGGGGAUAACUACUGGAAACGGUGGCUAAUACCGCAUAACGUCGCAAGACCAAAGAGGGGGACCUUCGGGCCUCUUGCCAUCAGAUGUGCCCAGAUGGGAUUAGCUUGUUGGUGAGGUAACGGCUCACCAAGGCGACGAUCCCUAGCUGGUCUGAGAGGAUGACCAGCCACACUGGAACUGAGACACGGUCCAGACUCCUACGGGAGGCAGCAGUGGGGAAUAUUGCACAAUGGGCGCAAGCCUGAUGCAGCCAUGCCGCGUGUAUGAAGAAGGCCUUCGGGUUGCCAAGUACUUUCAGCGGGGAGGAAGGUGUUGUGGUUAAUAACCGC